AUUUCUCCUUCAUCUCUAGACGACGGACGACCAGACCAGACACUGCAGUUUGGGAGACGAUCGAUUGAUCGAGACAUCGAGUCGCCGGAGGCCGGGGCCGGACACACGUACAGAUGAAGAGGAAGAAUCAAGGAUCUGGAAAGACGCCAUCAAUAUCAUGUUGGUACAAACCAGUACCAGUUGCUUCAAAUUCAAGCUCUAGUAUUCCUGCUGUUCAGAAUAUUGUAGUAUCAUCUGAAGAGGAAAACGCAAACCCAUCUGAGGAAGAGCAUCCAUCUGUAGAUGAUAACUCAACUGAUAAUCCAAUCGAUAUGCAAACUGAUGAUCAGAAUAUUGUAGCAUCAGUGGAAGUUUCAGAACAGGCUAGAGUAGGAAGUACAGCAUAUGAACGGGAUCCGGGUAAACGCCAACAGAUUUGGGAACUUCCUCUGGAUAAGCAAGAAGAAGCUCGUCGAUUUUAUAUUUCAGAGGGCCCCUUUCAGCCAUACAUGGCCAAUUAUCCGUAUAAUGAACAUCGUCGUCGAUUCCAAUAUAGCUAUUUCAUUAAUUUUCCUUGGCUAGAGUAUUCACUUGUUAAACAUCAUGCAUAUUGCCUGCCUUGUUUCCUCUUCACAAGAAAGCCAAAUGGUAGAUGUGGCUCGGAUACAUUCACAGUCGAUGGAUUUUCGAACUGGAAGAAGGUGAAUGCUGGAAAAAAUUGUGCUUUCUUAACUCACAUGGGCAAAGAUUCAAACUCUGCUCAUAACUUUUCGGUUCGAUCGUUUCAUAGUCUGAAAAAUAGUAUGACUCAUAUCGACAAGGCGAUUGUACAAGCAUCUGCAAAAAUGAUUGGAAAUGCAAGGCAAAGGCUUAAAGUUACAAUUGAUUCCAUCAGGUGGUUAACAUUCCAAGCUUGUGCUUUUAGAGGCCAUGAUGAAUCUCCGGGAUCCAUAAAUCAGGGUAAUUUUCUUGAACUGAUAAAGUUAUUGGCUUUGUAUAACAAGGAGGUGAAUGAGGUUAUCCUACAAAAUGCUCCACGCA